UACGUAGGAGGCGAGCGUUGUCCGGAAUUACUGGGUGUAAAGCGUGCGCAGGCGGUUUUGUAAGCCAGAUGUGAAAUCCCCGGGCUUAACCUGGGAAUGGCGAUGGAGACUGCAAGGCUGGAGUUUGGCAGAGGGGGGUAGAAUUCCACGUGUAGCAGUGAAAUGCGUAGAGAUGUGGAGGAACACCGAUGGCGAAGGCAGCCCCCUGGGUCAAACUGACGCUCAUGCACGAAAGCGUGGGGAGCAA
rnacentral:rRNA from 1 species